rnacentral:misc_RNA from 1 species
UAUCACAACGCAAGCAAGAAGUUCCCUCACAAUGUAUCGGAAUAAAGAGCAUUGCAAGUCCUCUGGUCUGAACGUGAACGAAAUGAGACCAUCCAUAAGAUGCUGGAGUACUUUGUGCUCAGCCUCCGGAGAAAACAAAGCAGGAUGUAAUUUGUUGUCUGCAGCCAACACCAAUUUAAGCUCCACAUCUAGCUCUUCAAUUGUCAAAGAAAUUGGGCGUUUCUUCUGAAUCUUUAUUUUGCUUGCACGAAACAACUCCAAGUGAGUGCGUAUUAGAUUGAUAAUAUCUCUUGUAAUGAGAUCUAUAAGAUUAAUAGUUCUCAUGCGACGUGAAAUUUCCCCUAGUACACCAUUCAUGAUCUGCACAAGUUCCUCAGGACCCUGUGUAUCAGAGGUUAUGCGGGAGUACCAGAGAUCCGUGACCCACUCAGAAACUAUAUGCCUGGUGAAGUGAUCUAUUGCUUCUUCGACAGCAGGUGAAUUUACUUUCUUCCUCCAGGUGGACUUCUCAUUAACUGUUCUUGGAAUAUCAAUAUGUUUCCUCUGAAAAGUGCUGUUUGAUAUGGAUGACUUACUUUUAUAUGUUACAGCUUUCAUCCGCGCGUCAAAAUCAAGAGACAGAUAACGAAGGGAAACAAUAAAGAGUGCGGCUACAGGCAAGUUGACAAAAACUGAGGAGCUCGUCAGAGACAUUAAAUAGGAGAGCCCAAUAGCACAUAUGAUUAAGAAAACAACUCUCUUCUUAGCUUCUUCAACAAGGUCUCGAACAGUCACCGAUUGCCUUUCGGUGCUCAUUUUUUGUGCUUUUUCAAAUCAAAUCCUUCACAAUUAUCAUCGAUUACCUAAUUGACCACACAAUUACAGCAGCAACAAUUACUAUAACUCAGUCACAAACAAGCUGAAUUUGAUCUUUCAACAAUAGAGAUGAUCGUACUGUAGAA